AGACAGUUAACUGACAAAGCAACCAUGUUUUUUUAAAUAUUUUUCAGUUUUGGAACCAACAUUGUUUUCUAUGGACGCUCCGAUCAUCCGAUUCUUUCACGUGGCCCUGCAAACGGGAAGAACGCCUGGGAUUGAAUGAAACUGGUGUAAUGCUCAAAGAGUCACAUAAUAUGUACGAUGAAACAACUACUGUAAACUACACCUGGAGGUUCGGCGACGACGGUGCAAUGUAUUAUUAUGUAAAUGAGAGUGACAGUUACGUGGGUUGGUCUGAAUUCGAAGUGAAAGCAGUACUGGAAUAUCAAGACUCUACAAAGAACUGUUCCGUUGUUAGGUAUGAGCAGUGGAAUUACGGUAAAGGUAAGCAC